AUACCUACGGGAGGCAGCAGUCGGGAAUAUUGCGCAAUGGAGGAAACUCUGACGCAGUGACGCCGCGUAUAGGAAGAAGGUUUUCGGAUUGUAAACUAUUGUCGUUAGGGAAGAUAAAAGACUGUACCUAAGGAGGAAGCCCCGGCUAACUAUGUGCCAGCAGCCGCGGUAAUACAUAGGGGGCAAGCGUUAUCCGGAAUUAUUGGGUGUAAAGGGUGCGUAGACGGAGAAACAAGUUGGUUGUGAAAUCCCUCGGCUCAACUGAGGAACUGCAACCAAAACUAUUUCCCUGGAGUGCUGGAGAG
rnacentral:rRNA from 1 species